ACACGUAUCCACGUAUCAACCCCUCUGUGCAACCUACUUCUUGAAGGCUUGGUUGGAGUGUCUCUGUUCGCAUGGGUCCUAAUGAUGGGAGCGACUCUUCGGAGGAGCUCAGGGCUCGAACAGUUACGCGUUUGACAAUCAGCCGCUACUUUUCCAUCGUUGGCCCCCUUUCUUAACUUUUUAACCCCUUGUACUUCUUUGUACUGAACCAGAUUCUUCGAUGCUCUCUCUGAGAGUGACGAAAGAUAUUACGAAACUUAAGAA
rnacentral:misc_RNA from 1 species